rnacentral:lncRNA from 1 species
AGUUCUCAAUUAACCACUGGUAAUUAUUGUGGCGGGGAGUUUCCACUUUGGCAGUGGAGGAGCAUGCGGUGAAAAGUGUUACGUAAACAGUGAUGGAAGUGAUCCGGGAUGCCCCGAGAGAUGCAAAUGCGUAACAGAUAAUU